ACGGGUGAGUAACACGUGGGUAACCUGCCUGUAAGACUGGGAUAACUCCGGGAAACCGGGGCUAAUACCGGAUAACACCUACCCCCGCAUGGGGGAAGGUUGAAAGGUGGCUUCGGCUAUCACUUACAGAUGGACCCGCGGCGCAUUAGCUAGUUGGUGAGGUAAUGGCUCACCAAGGCGACGAUGCGUAGCCGACCUGAGAGGGUGAUCGGCCACACUGGGACUGAGACACGGCCCAGACUCCUACGGGAGGCAGCAGUAGGGAAUCUUCCGCAAUGGACGAAAGUCUGACGGAGCAACGCCGCGUGAGUGAAGAAGGUUUUCGGAUCGUAAAACUCUGUUGUUAGGGAAGAACAAGUGCCGUUCGAAUAGGGCGGCGCCUUGACGGUACCUAACCAGAAAGCCACGGCUAACUACGUGCCAGCAGCCGCGGUAAUACGUAGGUGGCAAGCGUUGUCCGGAAUUAUUGGGCGUAAAGCGCGCGCAGGUGGUUUCUUAAGUCUGAUGCGAAAGCCCACGGCUCAACCGUGGAGGGUCAUUGGAAACUGGGGAACUUGAGUGCAGAAGAGGAAAGUGGAAUUCC
rnacentral:rRNA from 1 species